rnacentral:lncRNA from 1 species
GUCUUAAUCAUCCUGGGGGCGCAAGUGCAAAGUGCCAGGGCACAGCGCAGAGGUUCCAGAAGACCCUUGGAUCCCUUCUCUGAGGCCGUGUACGAGGAGAUUGAUUAUAACCUGAUGAGAGAGAAGCAGGAGCUGUUCAGUCGCUCAGUCUCCUAUUCAGAUGACUCAGUGAUGAAGCUGCAGUAUUACACCGGGGACAGCGAGGGGGAAAACGAACCUGGAUCAGAACAAGAGGGAGCUUCCCCAGGGGGGUCUCAGCUGGAUUACGAUAACGUGGAGGAGCCUGCCUUGAACGACGUCCCCCAGACUCCAGACAGCCGAGAUGCCCCUGCCGUGCCUGGAGAUGUCCUAGGGAAUGGUUAUGAUGAUGCCAGAGAAGUGUCUAACACUGAAGGUGACCCUCAUUGGGGGCAGAAUAAUGAGAAAGGCACUGGAGCGAAUGACAAGGAUUCACAGACAGGUUGGAGUCGGCACUCGCUAAGGAGUGAAGUUGUCUCUGGGAUGGAGAAGGACUCCCCAUCCCUGCCUCCUGGAGACACAGGUUAUGAUGAUGUGGGACAUGGUGACUCUGGGGGUUCAAUAUCAUAACAAUUUGAUUGGACAAAAUAUCCUCGUGAUGAUGUAAACGCUUCACCUCUUUCUCUCAGAAAUGAAGCCCAGAGAAAGUCUCUGCCUGGUAGAUAGACAAAGCAGGUGUUUUUGUAGGAUUUGUGUGAAUUUGCAGGAAAUACAAGAGUGAGUGGGGAAAGUGUCAUAAGCUUUCUUUGUAUAAUUUCCCAUUGUUUGGAGGGGGUGGAAGUGUCCUGCUUUUUUAUGCCUAUAAUUUCUUCAGCUUGACUUUGUGCCUUUUUCAUAUUAAAUCCUUUCUGA